GAUCAAGGGGUGCCGUUUCAAACCAGAACGUGCGGCUGAGAACAAACCCAUUGAACCUGAUAUGGAUCAUACCAGCGUAGGGAGAAAAAU
rnacentral:ncRNA from 1 species